AUUGAACGCUGGCGGCAUGCUUUACACAUGCAAGUCGAACGGUAACGCGGGGCAACCUGGCGACGAGUGGCGAACGGGUGAGUAAUGCAUCGGAACGUGCCCGGUAGUGGGGGAUAACUGCUCGAAAGAGCAGCUAAUACCGCAUACGACCUGAGGGUGAAAGGGGGGGAUCGCAAGACCUCUCGCUAUUGGAGCGGCCGAUGUCGGAUUAGCUAGUUGGUGGGGUAAGGGCCCACCAAGGCGACGAUCCGUAGCUGGUCUGAGAGGACGACCAGCCACACUGGGACUGAGACACGGCCCAGACUCCUACGGGAGGCAGCAGUGGGGAAUAUUGGACAAUGGGCGCAAGCCUGAUCCAGCCAUACCGCGUGGGUGAAGAAGGCCUUCGGGUUGUAAAGCCCUUUUGUUGGGAAAGAAAUCCAGCCGGCUAAUACCUGGUUGGGAUGACGGUACCCAAAGAAUAAGCACCGGCUAACUUCGUGCCAGCCGCCGCCGUAACAC
rnacentral:rRNA from 1 species